rnacentral:rRNA from 1 species
UUGGACUCAACGCCGGGCGAGCUCACCGGAUAAGACAGCUGGAUGAUAGCCGGGCGUGAAGGACUCUGCUUGACUAGCUGAGAGGAGGUGCAUGGCCGUCGUCAGUUCGUACUGUGAAGCAUCCUGUUAAGUCAGGCAACGAGCGAGACCCACGCCAACAGUUGCCAGCAUGUCCUCCGGGAUGAUGGGGACACUGUUGGGACCGCCUCUGCUAAAGGGAGGAAGGAAUGGGCAACGGUAGGUCAGCAUGCCCCGAAUUAUCCGGGCUACACGCGGGCUACAAUGGUCAGGACAAUGGGUAUCGACACCGAGAGGUGGAGGCAAUCUCCUAAACCUGUCCUUAGUUCGGAUUGUGGGCUGCAACUCGCCCACAUGAAGCUGGAAUCCGUAGUAAUCGCGUUUCAAAAUAGCGCGGUGAAUAUGUCCCUGCUCCUU